rnacentral:rRNA from 1 species
AUUGAACGCUGGCGGCAUGCCUUACACAUGCAAGUCGAACGGCAGCACGGGGCAACCUGGUGGCGAGUGGCGAACGGGUGAGUAAUGCAUCGGAACAUACCUUUCAGUGGGGGAUAACGUAGCGAAAGUUACGCUAAUACCGCAUAUUCUGUGAGCAGGAAAGCAGGGGAUCGCAUGACCUUGCGCUGAUUGAGCGGCCGAUGUCAGAUUAGCUAGUUGGUGAGGUAAAGGCUAACCAAGGCGACGAUCUGUAGCGGGUCUGAGAGGAUGAUCCGCCACACUGGGACUGAGACACGGUCCAGACUCCUACGGGAGGCAGCAGUGGGGAAUUUUGGACAAUGGGGGCAACCCUGAUCCAGCCAUGCCGCGUGAGUGAAGAAGGCCUUCGGGUUGUAAAGCUCUUUCGGCCGGGAAGAAAUCGCACGGGCUAAUACCCUGUGUGGAUGACGGUACCGGAAUAAGAAGCACCGGCUAACUACGUGCCAGCCGCCGCCGUAAGAC